rnacentral:misc_RNA from 1 species
CAACCAAAAUUAAGCCUAGCUUAGUGUUGGGGUUCGCAGUUCUGCGGCCCUUAAUAUCAGUGGCGGUGCCUGUAGGCUCUGAGCGUAGUAAUUCUUCUCGCUAUAGAGUCCUAUAAGUGUCUUGCCAAAACCCCUCUAUUUUCUUAC